rnacentral:rRNA from 1 species
CGNUACGGCGUGCCUAAUACAUGCAAGUCGAGCGAAUGGAUUAAGAGCUUGCUCUUAUGACGUUAGCGGCGGACGGGUGAGUAACACGUGGGUAACCUGCCCAUAAGACUGGGAUAACUCCGGGAAACCGGGGCUAAUACCGGAUAAUAUUUUGAACUGCACGGUUCGAAAUUGAAAGGCGGCUUCGGCUAGUCACUUAUAGGAUAGGACCCGCGUCGCAUNUAGCUAGUUGGUAGAGGUAACGGCUACACCAAGGCAACGAUAGCGUAGCCGACCUAGAGAGGGUAGAUACGGCCACACUAGGGACUAGAGACACGGCCCAGACUACCUAACGGGAGGCAGCAGUAGGGAAUACUAUACCCGGCCAAUUAGGACGAAAGUCUGACGGAGCAACGCCGCUGUUGAGUUGAUUGAAGGGCUUUCUGGGUCGUAAAACUCUUGUUUGUUUAGGGA